rnacentral:lncRNA from 1 species
CAUUACAGCUUACUUUGCAGCUAGUCCAAAGGUGGAAAGAGGUGAAGAACGAGAGCCUAUUCAGUGUAAGCAAAGGUGGUGGAAGAUGAACGAUCUUGUUUGCAAGUUCUGUGGAGCCUAUGCGGCUGCAACAAGACAGAAAACUAGUGGUCAGAGUGACAGUGACACUGUUAACCUGACAUACAAAAUAUUCUACAACGAUCAUAAGAUUAAAUUUAACCUUCACCAUACUUGGGAGGAGCUGAAGAACGACCAGAAAUGGUGUGCGCUGGCGAGUAUUAAGCUUGAUGGACCACAAUCAUCAAGCGCUAAGAAGAGAAGGUGUGAGGAUGGAGCACAGUCAGCAAGCUCUCAAGCAACUACCAUUCUAGGUGAUC